AAACGACUCUCGGCAACGGAUAUCUCGGCUCACGCAUCGAUGAAGAACGUAGCAAAAUGCGAUACUUGGUGUGAAUUGCAGAAUCCCGUGAACCAUCGAGUUUUUGAACGCAAGUUGCGCCCGAAGCCUUGGCUAAGGGCACGUCUGCCUGGGCGUCACGUA
rnacentral:rRNA from 1 species